rnacentral:rRNA from 1 species
UACAGAGGUCCCAAGCGUUGUUCGGAUUCACUGGGCGUAAAGGGUGCGUAGGCGGUCGGGUAAGUCUGAUGUGAAAUCUCACAGCUUGAACUGGUGAAACUGCAUUGGAUACUAUCCGGCUCGAGGAAUGGAGGGGAGACUGGAAUACUUGGUGUAGCAGUGAAAUGCGUAGAUAUCGGGAGGAACACCUGUGGCGAAAGCGGCUCACUGGACCAUAACUGACGCUGAUGCACGAAAGCUGGGGGGAGCAAACAGG